rnacentral:rRNA from 1 species
GAUGAACGCUGGCGGCGUGCCUAAUACAUGCAAGUCGAGCGAACAGACGAGGAACUUGCUCCUCUGACGUUAGCGGCGGACGGGUGAGUAACACGUGGAUAACCUACCUAUAAGACUGGGAUAACUUCGGGAAACCGGAGCUAAUACCGGAUAAUAUAUUGAACCGCAUGGUUCAAUAGUGAAAGACGGUUUUGCUGUCACUUAUAGAUGUAUCCGCGCCGCAUUAGCUAGUUGGUAAGGUAACGGUUUACCAAGGCAACGAUGCUUAGCCGACCUGGGAGGGGGAUCGGCCACAUGGGAACUGGAACACGGCCCAGACCCCUACGGGAGGAACCAGUAGGGAAUCUUCCGCAAGGGGCGAAAGCUUGACGGAGCAACGCCGCGUGAGUGAUGAAGGUCUUCGGAUCGUAAAACUCUGUUAUUAGGGAAGAACAAAUGUGUAAGUAACUAUGCACGUCUUGACGGUACCUAAUCAGAAAGCCACGGCUAACUACGUG